rnacentral:lncRNA from 1 species
CUUAAUUGAGUGCCUGUGUGAUGACUGAUAGUCCCUGCUGCUGGAAGCUCAUGGUCUAAGGCCAGAGACAACAAAGGCACUGCUGGUUGACACAGAAUGGGUUCUGGAGGCCGGCAAGUUCAGGAUCAGGGUGCCAGCAGAUUCGGUGUCUGAUGGAGUCUUGCUCUCUCACCCAGACUGGAGUGCAGUGGAGUGAUUUCCGCUCACUGCAACCUUCACCUCCUCCACUCACUGCAAUCUUCGCCUCCUGGGUUCAAGUGAUUCUCCUGCCUCAGCCUCCCAAGUAGCUGGAAUUGCAGGCAUGCGCCACAAGCCUGGCUAAUUUUUGCAUUUUUAGUAGAGAUGAGGUUUCACCAUGUUUGCCAGGCUGGUCUUGAACACCUGACCUCAAGUAACCCACCCACCUUGGCCUCCCAAAGAGCUGGGAUUACAGGCAUGAGCCAACGUGCCUGGCCAUGUUCUGAUCGUUUAAUGAUAGCAACAUUUAGUAUUAUAGAGCAUGAAAAUGUCAAAGUCGCAACUCUAAAAUGUUUUUAUUUAGAAAUAUGUGCCUAUUAGAAUUUUAGUUACUAGAAUUAUUUAAGAAAAUUGGACGUUUUAUAAUAACAGGUCAACAUUGUAAUUCCAAGCUAAAAUGGGUGAGUAAUUGCUUUAGGCUUGUAAUUUCAGAUUAAAAUCUUACUUGUAACAUUUAAGAGAACUUCAGGUUCAUCAUACCUAUAAAUUUAAUUUAUUAGGCUUAUAAGAGUGACUUAAGUUCUUGGGAAGUUUCUUAAGUCACCUAAUUGGUAUACUUCAAAAGAAAACAGAAAUAUGUUACAUUAAUAAAUGUGCUUAAAUAUUUAAGGAAUUUAAUUAAGUUGUGAAAUCUUCCUUCAAAGUAAUUAUAAAAUUUGCUAUGUUUAUGAAUGUGUUAAUAAGAUUUAUAAACUAACCUAAAAGCUUAAGAAGAACAAGAGUUUAAAUAAAUUGAAUACUAAUUUUGUACCAAAAUUACGUUAAAUAGGUUUUUUUCUAGGCAUAAAAACUGCCCUCAGGAACAUAAAAAUACUCAUGUUCAACAAGUUUCAACUGUGCUAUUUUGUAUGACCUCUGUCAAGUUACUUAACUUCUCUUAGCUUCAGUUUCCUCACCUACAAAAUGGGUAUCAUCAUAUUAACUUUUAGGGUUGCUGUAAGGAUUGAGAUAUUUUGCAUAAAGUUGUUGGAACAUGUAAGGCCCUC